rnacentral:rRNA from 1 species
UACGUAGGUGGCAAGCGUUGUCCGGAUUUACUGGGCGUAAAGAGCGCGCAGGCGGUCGAUCAAGUCGCGUGUGAAAGCCCCCGGCUCAACUGGGGAGGGUCACGCGAUACUGAUCGACUCGAAGGCAGGAGAGGGUAGUGGAAUUCCCGGUGUAGUGGUGAAAUGCGUAGAUAUCGGGGAGGAACACCAGUGGCGAAGGCGACUACCUGGCCUGUUCUUGACGCUGAGGCGCGAAAGCUAGGGGAGCAAACGGG